rnacentral:lncRNA from 1 species
UGAACGGUUAAGUGAUAACUGAGAUUUCGUUCUUGUUUUGGAAGAAGGAUUUUUCGACAGAAUGCCAAGGAAGAACCAGGUGUUUGAAAAAUGUGGCUGCGUUAAGUUAAAUGAGCCUUUUUCGGAUGCCAGAUGGGAACAUAAAGCUGUUUGAAACCCCAACGGUCUUUUCUUGUUGAUUUUCACAUGACUGAAAAAUGAUUUGACCGCAGCACGGAGGAGCUGCUGAAGUGUUCUUGCAGCCAGCUCCGUCGCUGCUAUUUAGGAAAAGAAGAGAUGUGAGAGCAGAAACUCAUAACCCUUGAAAACAGGAGGCUUGCCGUGGCAGCCUCGGAGGAGGCCUCUGAUUAUGGCGUUGCUGAGGGACAUGUUAAUUACCGGGCGCUCGGACACGUCCCUUCAGCCGAGUCCAGUCGGUCCGUUGCCUCGUGUACGAGGAAAUGGAGUUCCGUGGCGAGAGAAGCAGAAGCUACCUACCAGGUUGGAAAAGACCCACAGAAAACAUGGAAACACAUCGACGAAAACUGUUUGCUUUCUGUGUUCCAAAAAGUGGAUGAUCAAUGCCUGCUCCCCAGAUACCGUUACAUCCGCCUCCAGGGCACGUUAACGUUUUCUCAAAUGAGUUUACGCCAAAUUCUUAUGGAUAUUGACUGUGGCUCCCUAGUAAAGCACAGCUGCAGACCUGGAAACUCGUCCUCUGAACAUUUGGAAGCAACUGUGCCGGCUCCUUCCUUUGCUGCAGACACAUAUGGCCGCUGAAAAAUACUGCGCCUUUAUAUUUAACCCUUCGGGCCCUGAAAGGAGCUGUUUUGUGGAGCUGAGCUGGAAUUUAUUUGGUGCACAGUGAAUGCACCUCCUAAAAGUCACCCUUAGCUCCCGCCGUGUCCCCGUGUGCCGUGUGGCGGCACUACCUUGAAUAGUGGCUUACUAUUCCUUUUUCCUCUCUUUUCAACUGGAAAUAAAUAGAUUUUCAGAUGGUACUUAGUGUCUCAGGCUUCCCCUUUGGUGUAAGUGCCAACACUGAAAGGAAAGGGGUUUUUUCUCCCCAAGAAAAUGAAAAAGUUCUGUGUUGGAUUUGAAACUGAAGUCUCAGUGCUGGGAGCCAGCCCUGGGCAAACAGGCGGCUGGAGAGUAAGUCACCUCCCUCCUCUUCUCCUCACAGAGCUGUAUGCCCAUUACCUGAGGGGACGGAAUCCAAGCAUGGGUCAACAAUAAGGCAACAGAAAAAAAAUGCAGUCAACAACAGUAAGAAAAAAUAUGAUAGAGGAAUUGGCUCACUUGAUUGUGGAGGCUUGGCAAGUCCGAAAUCUGAUGGGGAAGGCUGGCAGGCUGGAGACUCAGGGGAGAGUUGCAGUUCAAAGUCCAAAGUCUGCUGGCAGAAUUCCAGUCUUGGUUCUAUUAAGGCCUUCAACUGAUUGGAUGAGGCCCACCCACAUUAUGGAGAGCAAUCUGCUUUAUUCAAAGUCUGCUGAUUUAAAUGUUAAUCUCAUCCAAAAAACACCUUCACAGAAACAUCCAGUAUAAGUUUGAUCAAAUAUCUGGACACCAUGGCCCAGCCAAGUUGACACAAAAAUUUAAUCCUCACAGGUACUAUGGACGUAGGUCUAUAAUUAAUUAUGAAUUCAACAAAUUCAAUGUGUAUUUAAUGAAUGCCUACUGUGUGUCCAGAACUAUGUUUAUCCAUUGGAAUAUAAUAGUUAAUACACAAUUAACCCUGCCCUCAAAGAACUGACAAUCUAGUAAGCCGUAAUUAAGCAGGUAACAACCCCGUGUGCCAAAUGCUGGCGAGCUCCCAGCGGUGGAGUGUGCAUCUGCUCUGAGCAGAGUGUGUUGCAUGCAUUAUCUCAUUCAGUCUCCACACAAACCUUUAGGCAGGCACUGUUGUCCCUGUUGCUUGGAUGAGGAAGAUGAGGUUUGGAGAGAUAGAGGAGCUGUAUGGAGGUCACAUAGCUACAAGUGCAGAGCGCAGAUUGAACUCAUCUCUGCCUGAUGCCCAAGUCCAGGCUGCCGGUGGCUUCCCUGUCUCACUUAUGCCCUCCUGCCAGGCUUCUCACAGACGGGCGCGCGGAGGAGGAGCAGGACCGUGCAAACCAAGGUCAGCCUGGGAGGCAGACAUCCGGAGAAACCCGGGGAGCUCGGCUGUUCUCGGAGACACACGUGCUCUCUCGCCCCUGCUGGCUGGCUUGCGUUGCCACUUCCUGAGCCUCUGGGAUGUGGGCGGCAAACAGGCCACCAGCGCUACCCUGGAGUCUGCAAGUCCAUCCUGGGUAACAACUCUCUCAGUAUCCUCAUCUUUUAAAGGGACACAUGAGCAUGUGUCUGUGUGUAGGUAGAGAGAGGGAAGAUUUGAACCCUUUCCAGGAAAGCCCCCUCUCAUCUAUUCUGCUCAGGGACGUGCUCUGGGUGAGUGUGUGUACAGACAUACAUAUGUAAUAUUUUCAGACUUUAUCUACUCCCAAACUGCUCGCAGCAGGGGUGCAGAUGGGACUAUAUGCUAACGGGUGUGGGGGAAGCAUGCCCCCCACGUAAGGAUUGCUCCUAUGCAUGCUUAGAGCAAGCCAUCCGCCCAGGGGCUUCUCUCCCCAGCAGUGAAUUCUGGGCUGCCUGUGGCUAUGCACAGGUUAGCCAUCAGCCUGGUGAAUGCUGGCCAAAGCCUGGCCUGGCCCACAGAUGAAGAACCUGUGGAGGCGAGGGAGAAGGGGGCGCUUUAUGUAAGCGGUUUUUAGACAGAUGGAGGAUUCAUUUUAAUUGCAUAAGAAGCAAUCCUUCUUGAGUAGAGAUGUAGGUCCUUUUGCAAACCUGUGCUAGACAAAUCUUUGCUGCCACUGCUUCUCUAUUUCCACGAUAAUUGCUCAUCGGUGUUGAGUUGCAUCUGGGCCAUUUGCUGCUUAUAGAGGGUCAGCAAUUCUCAGCAUGUCCCCCUCCCCCAGUGCAAGUUCACCCCAGGCCUUGUGAUGCCACCCGAAGAGUCUAGAGCCAGUUUUGAGCAUGGACAAUGGAUGUUCGCAGCGUGGGGCAGUGAGGGGACAGAACAAAGCAAGUUCAGACCAGCGGUUUUCAAGUCAUGCCCCCGUGGGUGGUCCAGCUUCGGGGAACCCAUCAAGCUCUGUAUCUUCGCCCUGUUAAUGUCCACCACGGAAAGGACCUCCAAGUUCUCCCAGAAUAAGCACCCUUGAGACUUAGAGGCACCUGGGUUCCAGCGUCUCCAUCUUUAGAAGUCAUCUUGGGAAACACCUUUAGUGGCCCUUAGCUCAGGGACCUGGAGAGAGGAGAGACUGGCUUCCUGGAUAUGCUUCUGGCUGAAGAAUCCUGAUUAUGACAAGAAAAAAGCAGCUUCGGUCUUCUGCUUCCUAUGCAGCUAUAAUCAAGGCGAAUUUACUUGAUAAAUACGCUGACUGUUUAUUUUAUCAGCGACAAGCGAGUAAAAUCUGAUCUUCUCCAGCAGGAAGCAGCUUAUGCGAGCUCACUGCUUUGUAGGAGGAGAUUUUCCCAAGCAAGAACAAAGAGGUUUGAGGUACCAUAUAGGGAGAUCCUUUGCCCAAGCUAGUUACUUUCUGGAUGGAAGAAAGUUCACCAGAGGGCCGGGUUUUGUAGGCACUGUGCCAGUUUUGCUAAUCUCUGCAUAGCCAGUGCUCUUCAUUGAGAGGCACACAAUAAAUGUUUGUUAGAUGGAAGAAUGACAGCAUGGAGGCAGCCUCAACCAAAAGAAUCUUUAUUAACCGUAAACAGUACAGUGUGUGAAACCAAGUUCUUGUGCAGGUUGCUGGGGACAACUAUCUCAGGGAACAAGGAGGGGCACAGAGCUUCUCAGACUUUGUGACUGGCCUUAUACUGCGACUCACAGAGAUCUGAAGAAGUAGAGAUGUCCUCCUUUGGCCUGUCCAUCUGCAUCAGUGUAUUUCUGCCUUGGAACUUUUGCCUUCCCCCAUAAGUAGCGCUUUGUUUUUCAUCUCUAUGCCUUUACGUGUGUUGUCACCUCUGCCUGGAAUGUCUCCCUCCCCACCUGUUGGCCUCUCACCUGACCUCCAUCACAGGUCUCCUGCUUCUGUACAGGCAGUCUGGGGUGGAGGGGGGCCCUUGGGCUCAGGAACCAGCCUACUUGGAUUUCCAUGCUGUGGUUGCCACUUAUUACUUGUGGCCUUGGCAAGUAGCCCAAGUCACCUAAUAAUUUUGAACCUCCAUUUUUCAUCUGGCAAACAGGAAUUAUAAUAAUAGUACCCGAAUCAGAGGAUUGUUAUCAGACUGAAUCAGUGAAUACAUGUAAAGUACAGAGAACAGAGCCUGGAACACAGCAGUUGACACCUGUCAGCCACCAUCUCUCUUGGAUUCCCUUCUCUUCUGUUCCCCUGUCAGAGCUGUUUUCUCCUGUCUACCCCUACUACUGUGUUCUCACUUCUUUCCAGCUCAGCCCCUUGGCUGGCCUACUUCCUUACAUCAGCUCUCCGGGGCUCCCCAACACCCCCCCAAUUACAUGCCAGGCUCCUUAGCAAAAUUCAAGGCUUUCCAUUUUCCAGACCAACGACUUUUGACAACAUAUUUUCCCCACUAUUUCGUGGUCCACAUCUGAUGGUCCUGCCCAAAUGUGCUCUAUCUUUGUUUCUAAGCAAGCUCUGUGCUCUCUCACCUCCUUGCUCUCGCUGGCCCUGUCCUUCCCUCACCUCUGCCUGCCAGGACGUGGG